rnacentral:rRNA from 1 species
AUUGAACGCUGGCGGCAGGCCUAACACAUGCAAGUCGAGCGGAUGAAGGGAGCUUGCUCCUGGAUCCAGCGGCGGACGGGUGAGUAAUGCCUAGGAAUCUGCCUGGUAGUGGGGGAUAACGUCCGGAAACGGGCGCUAAUACCGCAUACGUCCUGAGGGAGAAAGUGGGGGAUCUUCGGACCUCACGCUAUCAGAUGAGCCUAGGUCGGAUUAGCUAGUUGGUGGGGUAAAGGCCUACCAAGGCGACGAUCCGUAACUGGUCUGAGAGGAUGAUCAGUCACACUGGAACUGAGACACGGUCCAGACUCCUACGGGAGGCAGCAGUGGGGAAUAUUGGACAAUGGGCGAAAGCCUGAUCCAGCCAUGCCGCGUGUGUGAAGAAGGUCUUCGGAUUGUAAAGCACUUUAAGUUGGGAAGAAGGGCAGUAAGUUAAUACCUUGCUGUUUUGACGUUACCAACAGAAUAAGCACCGGCUAACUUCGUG